rnacentral:lncRNA from 1 species
CGGUAAGUAUCUCUGAGUGUGGCUUCUUCAGCAGUUCAAUGGCAUAAUCAAAAAUUGAAGACUUUUUUUUCUGCUCUGUUAUUCUCAAGGUGAUGGUCUUGUUUUCCCAAGCUGCUACAGAGCUUCUGCAGCUCCAAGCAUGACCACUAUAUUUGGCUGCUUAAAAGCAUAACAAGGGCAGAAAUCAUAAAGGCUUUGCCCAGAGGGCCUUGAUUGUCCUUGCCUUCUUGUCCUUUGGUGAGAACUUCAUUGGUGGUGGCUCCAAAAAUCAGGAGACUUUCUGUGAUGAAUUCACCAUAAGAACGUGGGACCCAGCCUCCCUUGAAGGACGUCCUAUAUGAUGCCUGUUUCCAAGGGAAGAAGUAAAGUCAAGAAACAAGAUAUCCUCAAGCUACUCUUAGGAUCAGUGUCUGCAUAGAUCUGGCACACAGAAAUGCAAGGAAACAAUUUGUGCAAAGCAUUAAAAAAAAAAGGGGGGACCCUGAGAGUAUAACAAGUGCUCCUGAGAGAGGACAGACGGAGAGGACGCAUGGGCAGGGAUGGCCGCCCUGAGCAGCUGAUGUUCGAGCUAAGAUCUGAAAGGUGCAUGAUUUCCCACUUACCUCCCGCAACCACUACCACCCACGUUGUCCACAGUAUUCAGCUGUCUCAGGGAGGAUCACAAUUAUUCUAAUGGGACUGCAAAGAGUGAAGGACACAGCUUUUAACAUCAGGCGGAGCUAAAUGGGGGAUGGAAGGUUCUUGAGAAGAUUUAGCUAAAGAAGCUAAUUGUUAAGUUAGGCAUCUGAGUAUAAUAUUCGAAUCCUACAAUUUGGAACCCAUGGGCACUUCUAGAUUGGAUCUUGCAGAGAUUUUUUACAACAGAAAUAAUGGAAAGGCAAAAGAAAACAUUGAGUAAUAACCAACCCAAGCAAGUCCAGCCUCUUUCUGCAGAAGGUAUGGAUGGCUGCAAGCCCACAGGCCACCUGUUGAAGAGGUAGGUGCACUUGGUCCUCAGAAUGACAGCUACUCAGUACCAGAUCUCUUUGUCUUCAUUAUUCAUGGAUAAUAAUGAGCUGGGA